UACGGAGGGGGCUAGCGUUGUUCGGAAUUACUGGGCGUAAAGCGCGCGUAGGCGGCCUUGCAAGUUGGGGGUGAAAUCCCGGGGCUCAACCUCGGAAUUGCCUUCAAGACUGCUUGGCUCGAGUUCGGGAGAGGUGAGUGGAAUUCCCAGUGUAGAGGUGAAAUUCGUAGAGAUUGGGAAGAACACCAGUGGCGAAGGCGGCUCACUGGCCCGCAACUGACGCUGAGGCGCGAAAGCGUGGGGAGCAAACAGG
rnacentral:rRNA from 1 species